rnacentral:lncRNA from 1 species
AUAAAUAUUCUGCAGCAUUCUAUGUAUUUCAAAGAUGCAUACUGCAUAAAGGAAAACAGGAUUUUAGCGUGUACAUAUGCAAUUAUGAUAUUUCAUACAUAGCACAGUGUUAAUGGUUUAGAUAUGAGGCAUCCUUCAACAAUGAAAAAAGGGAGAGAAAAUAAAGAUUUCCAGUCACACACAUAAUGCUUUGAAUACAUUAACUGUUUUAUUAGCUUUGUGUUCAGAUCAGUUUUUCACUGCUACAUUUUUUUUUGUACUAGAUACCAACCUAAGGUUUGAUGAAAAAAAAGUGACAUUGGAAGAAUAAAAAAUAGCUUUUAAUAACCCUUGAGCACAGUUAUGUACUGCUUUCAGAUACUUAUUUAGGAAAUCUGAAACCUCUUGUGUUUGGAAUGCAAUGUAAACAUGUAUCUUGACUGUAAUGAAAACCCAUCAUUUCUCCUUUUUUUAUUUCUCACCCAGUUAACUCCUUUGGCAGAAAAUGCAUGUAGAUCCUGAGAGAAUUCAAAGUCUUAUCUUUGAAGGUUUCAGAUAAAUUGAACUGAAAAACUGGGAAUGACAUCAAUUUCACUUGAAACUAAGUAUUUUUCAAAAUUAAAAAUUCUCACAGGUGUCUAGAGAAUCUUCAUUUAAAAUCUAAAAGAAUUUAUCUGACCAAUUUUGCUUUCUACUUUGAAUUAAAAGGUACAUAAUCAGAAAAUAAUUUUGUGAUAGAUCAAUUUGUCAUAAUCAAAUUAGAUAAUUUGAAAUGAGGUUGUAAUGAACUGCAUCCUGCAUUAUAUUAUGUACAAUAAUGAAAAUAUUAAAUUAACUAAAUAAGAAGACCACAGUUUUCACAUGAGAUACUUGGAUCUGCUUCAUUGAACUUGCAAUAGGCAACAUGAAAUACAGAUUACCACCUUUUUAUUUUCUAUUUGUUCUCUUUACAUAUACAUGAAAGUAAAGUGUAUUUUGACAUAUAUACAUGAAAUAUAACUUCCCAUUCUUGUGGUUGUACAUGUUGUGGAAUUAUACUGGUUGUGUAUUCAUAUGUGAAUAUAGGAAAGUUAUGUCCAAU